rnacentral:rRNA from 1 species
GCAAUGCCGCGUGAGUGAAGAAGGCCUUCGGGUUGUAAAGCUCUUUUGUCAGGGAAGAAACGGUGAUUUCUAAUACNGCUUGCUAAUGACGGUACCUGAAGAAUAAGCACCGGCUAACUACGUGCCAGCAGCCGCGGUAAUACGUAGGGUGCAAGCGUUAAUCGGAAUUACUGGGCGUAAAGCGUGCGCAGGCGGUUAUAUAAGUCAGAUGUGAAAUCCCUGGGCUCAACCUAGGAACUGCAUUUGAGACUGUAUGGCUAGAGUGUGUCAGAGGGGGGUAGAAUUCCACGUGUAGCAGUGAAAUGCGUAGAUAUGUGGAGGAAUACCGAUGGCGAAGGCAGCCCCCUGGGAUAACACUGACGCUCAUGCACGAAAGCGUGGGGAGCAAACAGGAUUAGAUACCCUGGUAGUCCACGCCCUAAACGAUGUCUACUAGUUGUCGGGUCUUAAUUGACUUGGUAACGCAGC